GCCGUCAUAGCUCAGUCGGUAGAGCACAUCCAUGGUAAGGAUGGGGUCGCAGGUUCAAAUCCUGUUGUCGGCA
rnacentral:tRNA from 1 species